rnacentral:rRNA from 1 species
AACGAACGCUGGCGGCAUGCCUAACACAUGCAAGUCGAACGAGACCUUCGGGUCUAGUGGCGCACGGGUGCGUAACGCGUGGGAACCUGCCCUUAGGUUCGGAAUAACUCCCCGAAAGGGGUGCUAAUACCGGAUAAUGUCUUCGGACCAAAGAUUUAUCGCCUUUGGAUGGGCCCGCGUUGGAUUAGCUAGUUGGUAGGGUAAAAGCCUACCAAGGCGACGAUCCAUAGCUGGUCUGAGAGGAUGAUCAGCCACCCUGGGACUGAGACACGGCCCAGACUCCUACGGGAGGCAGCAGUGGGGAAUAUUGGACAAUGGGCGAAAGCCUGAUCCAGCAAUGCCGCGUGAGUGAUAAAGGCCUUAGGGUUGUAAAGCUCUUUUACCCGGGAUGAUAAUGACAGUACCGGGAGAAUAAGCUCCGGCUAACUCCGUG